ACUGCUACUAUAAGAUAUUUCAUGCAAAAAUAUAACAACCCAGUUUAGUGAACUCUUAUCUAUGUAUACAUGUACAUAGCUAAGAUCUAUUUACACAAAUGUUAUAAAUUAAUGUUUUGGACUCAAAUUAUCCAAAAUACUUCAAAAUGUAAACAAGAUAGCCUAUUUUGUUUUUUACAGCACAGCUCGCGUUUAAUGUUAGUUCAUCGUUUGUUUCGUAUUUAUUUAGCAAGUUUACCUCAUUUUUAGAAUGAAAUUUAGCAUUUAAUCAAAAACUAAUUUUCUCUAACCAUCAUAGGUGGGUGUGAUUCUGGAGGAGGCGGAAUGGGGGGAGGAGGAGGAGGAGGAGGUGGAGGAUGCGAUUUCGGAGGCGGGGGAGGCGGAGGAUUUUCUUCUGGAGGCGGAGACUUCGGUGGCGGAGGCGGUGGAUUUUUCUUCUGGAGGCGGUGGAUUUUCUUCUGGAGGUGGAGACUUUUGUGGCGGAGGCGGAUUUACGUCGAGUGGAGGGAUAGACCACAGUGGAAAUGUUUUCAGUGCAGAUGGUAGCCAUAACAAUUUUGGUUAUAGUCACGGACAUAAUACGAUUGUUCAUCCGACUGCUGGUGUGGGAUUUGUACCAGGCCCACAUGGCGGAUAUGCUGGUACUCAUUAUACAACGGCAAAUACUUUUGGCCAGCCAGGGUCCAACGUGACAGUCUAUGGGGCACAGCCUACAACAGUUUAUCAGCCUGAUCGUCCCUAUAAUUCAGCUCCAUGUGCAAAGGCAAUGCUGAUAUUUUCCAUAGUGAUUUUUGUGAUGAUUGUUCUUCUAGCAAUCCUGAUACCAGUUAUCGUCUUCACAACUACAAUGCAUGCAUAAACUUUGUGUAAAAACAAAACACAUUUGAGCCGCGUCACGACAAGCCAACAUAAUGGGUUUGCGACCAGCAUGGAUCCAGACCAGCUUGCGCGUCCGCGCAGUCUGAGAAGGAUCCAUGCUGUUCGCUAUCAGUUUCUCUACUUGUUAUAGGGUUUGUAAGCGAACAACAUGGAUCCUGAUCAGACUGCGCGGAUGCGCAGGCUGGUCUGGAUCCAUGCAGGUCGCAAACGCAUUACGUUGGUUUUGUCGUGACGCGGCUUAUUUUAUUUUGUCGAAAAAGAGUUACUUUAUCUUAUUUCAAUUUACUGGAAAACAUGUCACCGUGACGCUUAAAUAGCAUCAUGUUUACGUUAAUAACGUUAUUUAACAUUGACUUACCAUUGAUCUUGUUGAUCUGUGCAAACCACAAAUAGUAAACAAAUGUUUAUGCAAUA